rnacentral:rRNA from 1 species
AUUGAACGCUGGCGGCAGGCCUAACACAUGCAAGUCGAGCGGAUGAAAGGAGCUUGCUCCUGGAUUCAGCGGCGGACGGGUGAGUAAUGCCUAGGAAUCUGCCUGGUAGUGGGGGACAACGUUUCGAAAGGAACGCUAAUACCGCAUACGUCCUACGGGAGAAAGCAGGGGACCUUCGGGCCUUGCGCUAUCAGAUGAGCCUAGGUCGGAUUAGCUAGUUGGUGAGGUAAUGGCUCACCAAGGCGACGAUCCGUAACUGGUCUGAGAGGAUGAGCAGUCACACUGGAACGUAGACACGGUACAGACUCCUACGGGAGGCAGCAGUGGGGAAUAUUGGACAAUGGGCGAAAGCCUGAUCCAGCCAUGCCGCGUGUGUGAAGAAGGUCUUCGGAUUGUAAAGCACUUUAAGUUGGAAGGAAGGGUUGUAGAUUAAUACUCUGCAAUUUUGACGUUACCGACAGAAUAAGCACCGGCUAACUCUGUGCCAGCCGCCGCGGUAAUAC